rnacentral:lncRNA from 1 species
GGUGGUGGAGGCAGUUUGUGUUGUUGUUGUGGUCGUAGUUGUGUGCAUAGCACCACGUUUUGCUAAGAUGCCACUAUUUUUUGUCCCAGAAAAGACUCGAGCAGCUCCUGUACAGCAACCGUUUCUUUAAAGAAGAUUUUUCUGUGGUUCUCCAGCCCUUCCUCAAACAUGCAGACCCCCCAAGACUCACGAAUGGGAAGAUUGACAUGAGCUUCUUCACCCCAGACUGUUUUCACUUCACCAUGAAGGGACAUGAGGAACUGGCUAAAGGCCUCUGGAACAACAUGGAUCAUCCAUACAUUUACACAAGACCCAGUUCCUCCAAAAUAAACCAGUCCACUCCGUCUGGCAGCACAACAUCCUCCUGCCGUCUGCCGGGUGUCAUCUUUCCAUUCCUCCUCGCUCUUAUCUGCCUCCUCCUCUUAUCCUCUUUGUAACUAAAAGCUCCUCUCCUUCCGGGCUGGAGGGCAUCUGACAAUUUGAAGUGCUGCUGCAACCUUCCCGAUCAAGCCCAUUUGCCCUUCUCUCAAACUCGCAGAACAAAAAGCGACCACUAGAGGACGUGCAUGUGCAUCC